AGUGAACGCUGGCGGUAGGCCUAACACAUGCAAGUCGAACGGCAGCACAGUAAGAGCUUGCUCUUACGGGUGGCGAGUGGCGGACGGGUGAGGAAUACAUCGGCAUCUACUUUUUCGUGGGGGAUAACGUAGGGAAACUUACGCUAAUACCGCAUACGACCUACGGGUGAAAGCAGGGGAUCUUCGGACCUUGCGCGAUUGAAUGAGCCGAUGUCGGAUUAGCUAGUUGGCGGGGUAAAGGCCCACCAAGGCGACGAUCCGUAGCUGGUCUGAGAGGAUGAUCAGCCACACUGGAACUGAGACACGGUCCAGACUCCUACGGGAGGCAGCAGUGGGGAAUAUUGGACAAUGGGCGAAAGCCUGAUCCAGCAAUACCGCGUGGGUGAAGAAGGCCUUCGGGUUGUAAAGCCCUUUUGUUGGGAAAGAAAAGCAGCAGGUUAAUACCCCGCUGUUCUGACGGUACCCAAAGAAUAAGCACCGGCUAACUUCGUG
rnacentral:rRNA from 1 species